AGGGCGAGGGAGGAGGAGAGGGAGAGAGCGGGAUAUUAUAGUAAUUUGAUGGUUGCGGAGUUUAGUUGAAUUGAGAUAAUAUAUCCUCCCAAGGGCUGAGAGGGAGAGUGAGGCUCAGGCUACACUUAAUCGAUGGCGGCUUCAUCUGCAAUUACUACGCUAAGGCUGGCAAAUAUUCCAGAAAGCAGAGGCAGAGUGGGAGCUUUGAACCCUAACACUAACCCUAAGUUUAGUGGUGCUGUGGGGGGGCUUGGGUUUGGGUUUGGGUUUGGUGUUUGUUCUCCACAGCCACUGUCAGUGAGUGUGGGACAGAGAAAAGAAAGCGUCCUGCUCCUUCCGGGUACGGGUAGGAGUAGGGUAAGGGCGAGUUCUGCUUCUGAGGAGCCGAGUGUGCAGUCAAAAGUGACUCAGAAAGUUUACUUCGACAUAAGCAUUGGAAAUCCAGUUGGGAAGCUCGCGGGACGGAUCGUCAUUGGACUCUAUGGUGACGAUGUACCCCAAACAUCAGAGAACUUUCGUGCCCUUUGUACUGGCGAGAAGGGCUUCGGCUACAAGGGCUCCACCUUCCAUCGCGUCAUCAAGGAUUUCAUGAUUCAAGGAGGCGACUUCGACAAAGGAAAUGGAACUGGAGGCAAAAGCAUAUAUGGUCGUACUUUCAAAGAUGAGAAUUUUAAAUUGUCUCAUACUGGACCAGGAGUUGUUAGCAUGGCAAAUGCAGGUCCCAACACAAAUGGGAGCCAGUUUUUCAUAUGCACUGUGAAGACACCAUGGCUGGAUCAGAGGCAUGUUGUAUUUGGCCAAGUUUUGGAAGGCAUGGACAUUGUUAGGUUGAUCGAAUCUCAGGAUACAGAUAGGGGUGACCGUCCUAGAAAGAAGGUAACCAUCAGUGACUGCGGUGAGCUCCCAAUUGCUUGAGAUGGUUGGUCAUUCCUUCUAUUAACUUCUCGCUGCUUAGAAUGAAAGGGAAAAGAGGAAACUCCUGCUUUCUGGAAAUUUUUGUCUAAGUAUUCUAAGAUGAGUUCAGUACCUAUUGCUUUUCACACUGAACCUACAAACUUUAAUCAGCCGCCUGUAUUCCAGAGUUUGAGUUGUUGUUAGGUUGGAAAAUUUCGCACCCAAUUUGAAUGAUCUCUCCUUAAGCCGAAGUGCAUUUUCCUUGUGGAAUUGGAUGGCAAAGGUGUCUUCCGAAAUAGUCCAUAGGAUGUUAGGCGUGCCCUGAUAUGCUGGCUACGAUGAGGCUACCAGCUGGUCGCUGUAGUAAGUUCUCAUGAAGUGACCGCUCCACUUGGUGACACAGUUCCCCAUUGUGCGCACACAGCAAAAAGUUGAGCUCAAGGAUGGUUGGGCCGGAGGGGUAGCACUACUCAAUAUUUGAUUCCAGACCACUUCCACGAGGUGUUUGCCCUGUUCUUCCUCUGCCACAUCACAAUCCACAUAGUUCCAUAGAAAUACUUUGUCGUGGAUUUAGCUAGCAUAAAGAGAGCGGUUAUAAUUAUUCAAUUCAAUAUUAAUAUUUAAUAGUUAAGAUUUUAGCCAUUUUGUUAGUUUGUUUUAUAAUGUAUAUGCAUGCAAUCAAAAUAUCAACUUAAUUAACCAUUGUAGUUGUAUUU